AUGAACGCUGGCGGCAUGCCUAACACAUGCAAGUCGCACGAAGGCUUCGGCCUUAGUGGCGCACGGGUGCGUAACGCGUGGGAAUCUGCCCUUGGGUUCGGAAUAACAGUUAGAAAUGACUGCUAAUACCGGAUGAUGUCGUAAGACCAAAGAUUUAUCGCCCAAGGAUGAGCCCGCGUAGGAUUAGCUAGUUGGUGGGGUAAAGGCCUACCAAGGCGACGAUCCUUAGCUGGUCUGAGAGGAUGAUCAGCCACACUGGGACUGAGACACGGCCCAGACUCCUACGGGAGGAAGCAGUGGGGAAUAUUGGAAAAUGGGCGAAAGCCUGAUACAGCAAUGCCGGGUGAGUGAUGAAGGCGUUAGGGUUGUAAAGCUCUUUUACCCGGGAUGAUAAUGACAGUACCGGGAGAAUAAGCUCCGGCUAACUUCGUG
rnacentral:rRNA from 1 species